rnacentral:rRNA from 1 species
CAACUGGAGAGUUUGAUUCUGGCUCAGAUUGAACGCUGGCGGCGUGCCUAACACAUGCAAGUCGUGCGUGAAAGGGCUUCGGCCUGA